rnacentral:lncRNA from 1 species
AUGACCUAUAUGGGAAAAGAAUAUAAAAAAACAGUGGAUAUACAUAUUAAUAUGUGUAAAACUGAUUCACCUUGCUGUAUAUCAGAAAUUAAAUAUUGUAAUUUGCAUGCAGGUCAGGAAGCAACAGUUAGAAAUGGACAUGGAACAACAGACUGGUUCCAAAUAGGAAAAGGAGUACAUCAAGGCUGUAUAUUGUCACCCUGCUUAUUUAAAUUCUAUGCAGAGUACAUCAUGAGAAACGCUGGACUGGAAGAAACACAAGCUGGAAUCAAGAUUGCCAGGAGAAAUAUCAAUAACCUCAGAUAUGCAGAUGACACCACUCUUAUGGCAGAAAGUGAAGAGGAACUCAAAAGCCUCUUGAUGAAAGUGAAAGUGGAGAGGAAAAAAGUUGGCUUAAAGCUCAACAUUCAGAAAACGAAGAUCAUGGCAUCUGGUCCGAUCACUUCAUGGGAAACAGAUGAGAAAACAGUAGAAACAGUGUCAGACUUUAUUUUUUGGGGCACCAAAAUCACUGCAGAUGGUGAUUGCAGCCAUGAAAUUAAAAGACGCUUACUCCUUGAAAGGAAAAUAAUGAUCAACCUAGAUAGCAUAUUCAAAAGCAGAGACAUUACUUUGCCGACUAAUGUCCGUCUAGUCAAGGCUAUGGUUUUUCCAGUAGUCAUGUAUAAAUGUGAGAGUUGGACUGUGAAGAAAGCUGAGCACCGAAGAAUUGAUGCUUUUGAACUGUGGUGUUGGAGAAGACUCUUGAGAUUCCCUUGGACUGCAAAGAGAUCCAACCAGUCCAUUCUAAGGGAGAUCAGUCCUAGGUGUUCUUUGGAAGGAAUGAUGCUAAAGCUGAAACUCCAGUACUCUGGCCACCUCAUGCAAAGAGUUGACUCAUUGGAAAAGACUCUGAUGCUGGGAGGGAUUGGGGGAAGGAGGAGAAGGGGACGACAGAGGAUGAGAUGGCUGGGUGGCAUCAUCAACUCAAUGGACGUGAAUUUGAGUGAAAUCCAAGAGUUGAUGAUGGACAGGAAGGCCUGGAGAGCUGCAAUUCAUAGGGUCGCAAAAGUUGGACAUGACUGA